CUUCACUCCCCUCUUCUGUUUGCCCAUCUGCUCUCUACCUCUCCUCUCUUCUUCAGUAUGAGGAGGUGCGCGGGGAGCUGCAGUGUGUACAGAGGGAGUUACAGGGGGCUCGUGAGGAGGUGCAGGUAGGUGUCUGUGUGCGGGAGCGUCUCUCUCAGGAUCUCCAAGUGAAACACACCCAGGUGUGAUCACUGGAGGGACAGCUGGGCUUGGCACGAACUCUCACACACACCCUCAAAAAGGAUGUGAAAAGCAACAGCUCAAGUUCUCAGACCCUGGCGUCUCGCCCACGCCCAUGUUCCCACAACAACAAGCCAAGGGCACGCCCCACCGGUGUCCGUCCCACCAAUCAGACUCCUCCACUCCCUCGGCUGUGUUUCUGUGGGAACGGGACGACCAAAAGCCUUAAUUCGCUCCUCCUCCAUCUCUCCCUCUCCCCUCCAGCAAUGUCAUCAGACGAGGACAGGAUGCUGGGGGUUGUGGGAUGUUGGAGGACAUCGGGAGAGAGACAGACAGCCCAGUCGUUGGAGCAGCGUGUGAAGCAGCUGCAGGAGGAACUGAAAUGUCAGGCACAGAACAGCAACGCACCAGAGACCUGGACAAGCAACACCAGAGACCUGGACAAGCAACACCAGAG